rnacentral:rRNA from 1 species
GUGGGGAAUCUUGCGCAAUGGGCGAAAGCCUGACGCAGCCAUGCCGCGUGAAUGAUGAAGGUCUUAGGAUUGUAAAAUUCUUUCACCGGGGACGAUAAUGACGGUACCCGGAGAAGAAGCCCCGGCUAACUUCGUGCCAGCAGCCGCGGUAAUACGAAGGGGGCUAGCGUUGCUCGGAAUUACUGGGCGUAAAGGGCGCGUAGGCGGACAGCUUAGUCAGAGGUGAAAGCCCAGGGCUCAACCUUGGAAUUGCCUUUGAUACUGGCUGUCUUGAGUUUGGGAGAGGUGAGUGGAACUCCGAGUGUAGAGGUGAAAUUCGUAGAUAUUCGGAAGAACACCAGUGGCGAAGGCGACACACUGGCUCAUUACUGACGCUGAGGCGCGAAAGCGUGGGGAGCAAACAGGAUUAGAAACCCCGGUAGUCC